rnacentral:rRNA from 1 species
GAUGAACGCUGGCGGCGUGCCUAAUACAUGCAAGUCGAGCGAACGGACGAGAAGCUUGCUUUUCUGAUGUUAGCGGCGGACGGGUGAGUAACACGUGGAUAACCUACCUAUAAGACUGGGAUAACUUCGGGAAACCGGAGCUAAUACCGGAUAAUAUUUUGAACCGCAUGGUUCAAAAGUGAAAGACGGUCUUGCUGUCACUUAUAGAUGGAUCCGCGCUGCAUUAGCUAGUUGGUAAGGUAACGGCUUACCAAGGCAACGAUGCAUAGCCGACCUGAGAGGGUGAUCGGCCACACUGGAACUGCGACACGGUCCAGACUCCUACGGGAGGCAGCAGUAGGGAAUCUUCCGCAAUGGGCGAAAGCCUGACGGAGCAACGCCGCGUGAGUGAUGAAGGUCUUCGGAUCGUAAAACUCUGUUAUUAGGGAAGAACAUAUGUGUAAGUAACUGUGCACAUCUUGACGGUACCUAAUCAGAAAGCCACGGCUAACUACGUG